rnacentral:lncRNA from 1 species
GCUGCUAAGCCGAGAAGGAGUCAGUCAGAGAGCCUUGGGACACAGUUCCAGGGGCUCUGGGAGUGGCUACCAGGUGAGUUGAACAGUCCGAUUUCCAGUGGGGUCUCGCACAGAUGGGACACGGCUUAGGAGGAAUCCUGGGCUGCAGGCAUUCAUUGGCCUGGUGGUCAGAUUUCUGGCACUUGAGCAGAUUGGUUAAUAAAAUGUGUUUUGAGAAUAAGAUGGGCUUUUGACCUUUUAGGGUCUAGGGCUGUAAAGUGUCUCAGGGUUGCUGCCAAACAAGUCAUGAACUGGGCUGGAUUUUUAUAUUGAUGAAAAAGAGCCUAAAUGCUAUCUGAUUUAGGAUAAAGAAAAAGGAGCAUUAACC